rnacentral:tRNA from 1 species
GCCCCCUUGGCGGAAUUGGUAGACGCACAGGACUUAAAAUCCUGAGCCCACAAGGCGUCCCGGUUCGAUCCCGGGAGGGGGCACCA